GACGAACGCUGGCGGCGUGCCUAAUACAUGCAAGUCGAGCGCAGGAAACUGACGGAACUCUUCGGAGGGAAGGCAGUGGAAUGAGCGGCGGACGGGUGAGUAACACGUAAGGAACCUGCCUCAAGGAUUGGGAUAACUCCGAGAAAUCGGAGCUAAUACCGGAUAGUUCAACGGACCGCAUGGUCCGCUGAUGAAAGGCGCUCCGGCGUCACCUUGAGAUGGCCUUGCGGUGCAUUAGCUAGUUGGUGGGGUAACGGCCCACCAAGGCGACGAUGCAUAGCCGACUUGAGAGGGUGAUCGGCCACACUGGGACUGAGACACGGCCAGACUCCUACGGGAGGCAGCAGUAGGGAAUCUUCCACAAUGGACGAAAGUCUGAUGGAGCAACGCCGCGUGAGUGAUGAAGGUUUUCGGAUCGUAAAACUCUGUUGUAAGGGAAGAACACGUACGAGAGGGAAUGCUCGUACCUUGACGGUACCUUACGAGAAAGCCACGGCUAACUACGUGCCAGCCGCCGCCGUAACAC
rnacentral:rRNA from 1 species